UGCAAUUGCCAAGACGUCACUCAUGAUCCAUAACUCAAGUAUUAUCGUCAUAUCCACCCAUCCUAACCUUACUCGAGUAAAAGACAUGAUAUCCAAUCAUCAAACCCAAUCAAUGGCUACCUGAUGGGAGUUUGCAUGCAUGCCAGAUCAAGAUCAGCUUCCUGCAGGUAAACAUGCAGCUUCUGCCCAAGCCAUCCUGUCAUCUCAAGCAACCAAGCAAUUUCUUCCAAACCUACUCCCCGGUCAUGAAGCUUUCGUGGGGUCCCUAGCUAAUGUUAUCGUCUUCUGUUCAACCAGCAAAUCAACAGCCUGAUCGCUGCGCGCAAGCAAUAUGGGGGAAAAUUAAAUAUUGCAUGUCACCAUAUCAUCUGUUUCCGCUGCUCUUAUUCUCGACAUGGUUGAAACGCAAGGCUAUGUUGCACACGCAAUAAGUUUCGGGAGCAAGCUUCCCCACAGAGAAUGAUGAAGAUGAAACACAAAGAUCAGCAUAAUGCAGAAACUAUCGAGUCACUGCAAGUGAACCCAACGCCAUGCACGGAUGUAGCACUCAUCUCCAUGAGCUUCCUCACCAAACUCUCGCAUGCGCUCUGAUUCUCCCCCUCUCCUUCUCAAGAUCAAAAUGAUGGAGGCCAGCUAGCCAGCCUCGAUACCAGUUUCUCCCAAUGCAGAACCCCUCAAGUGCCGAAUUGUUCCAUUUGCCUUCUAUGUGUUCAUAUUGAAGGAUCAUCAAGUUGGGAAAGCAAAGGAGUCAUGAGCACUGCAAAAUGGACUCUGUCAUUCCGUUUAUAGAAACCCUUUUCAUAUUUCUGUUAUUUCCUUGUUGAGUUAUACAUAAGGGGCAUUACUGUAUUUUCAUAUUUGAUGGGUAGUUACAAUAUUCCUUUAGCAAUUGUAUAUAACUUUAUUCCAUGUAAAUCAAUUUGAU